AGAGUUUGAUCCUGGCUCAGGAUGAACGCUGGCGGCGUGCUUAACACAUGCAAGUCGAACGAAGCACUCUAUUUGAUUUUCUUCGGAAAUGAAGAUUUUGUGACUGAGUGGCGGACGGGUGAGUAACGCGUGGGUAACCUGCCUCAUACAGGGGGAUAACAGUUGGAAACGACUGCUAAUACCGCAUAAGCGCACAGUAUUGCAUGAUACAGUGUGAAAAACUCCGGUGGUAUGAGAUGGACCCGCGUCUGAUUAGCUGGUUGGCAGGGUAACGGCCUACCAAGGCAACGAUCAGUAGCCGGUCUGAGAGGAUGAACGGCCACAUUGGAACUGAGACACGGUCCAAACUCCUACGGGAGGCAGCAGUGGGGAAUAUUGCACAAUGGGGGAAACCCUGAUGCAGCAACGCCGCGUGAGUGAAGAAGUAUUUCGGUAUGUAAAGCUCUAUCAGCAGGGAAGAUAAUGACGGUACCUGAGGAGGAAGCCCCGGCUAACUACGUGCCAGCAGCCGCGGUAAUACGUAGGGGGCAAGCGUUGUCCGGAAUGACUGGGCGUAAAGGGCGUGUAGGCGGCCUGAUAAGUAUGAAGUGAAAGUCCUGCUUUCAAGGUGGGAAUUGCUUUGUAGACUGUCGGGCUUGAGUGCGGAAGAGGUAAGUGGAAUUCCCAGUGUAGCGGUGAAAUGCGUAGAGAUUGGGAGGAACACCAGUGGCGAAGGCGACUUACUGGGCCGUAACUGACGCUGAGGCGCGAAAGCGUGGGGAGCGAACAGGAUUAGAUACCCUGGUAGUCCACGCUGUAAACGAUGAAUGCUAGGUGUAGGGGGUAUCGACCCCUCCUGUGCCGGAGUAAACGCAAUAAGCAUUCCGCCUGGGGAGUACGGCCGCAAGGUUGAAACUCAAAGGAAUUGACGGGGGCCCGCACAAGCAGCGGAGCAUGUUGUUUAAUUCGAUGCAACGCGAAGAACCUUACCAGGUCUUGACAUCGAUGCAAAGUACUAGAGAUAGUAUGUGCCUUCGGGCAGCAGAAGACAGGUGGUGCAUGGUUGUCGUCAGCUCGUGUCGUGAGAUGUUGGGUUAAGUCCCGCAACGAGCGCAACCCUUAUGAUCAGUUACUAACGGGAAAGCCGAGGACUCUGAUAAGACUGCCGGGGACAACUCGGAGGAAGGUGGGGACGACGUCAAAUCAUCAUGCCCCUUAUGACCUGGGCUACAAACGUGCUACAAUGGCGACUACAAAGAGAAGCGAGUCUGUGAAGAUAAGCGGAUCUCAAAAAAGCCGUCCCAGUUCGGAUUGUGGGCUGCAACCCGCCCACAUGAAGUUGGAGUUGCUAGUAAUCGCGGAUCAGAAUGCCGCGGUGAAUACGCUCCCGGGCCUUGCACACACCGCCCGUCA
rnacentral:rRNA from 1 species